rnacentral:lncRNA from 1 species
UGUCCUUGUAAGAAGAGAAGAGACUCACACAGACACACAGGGAGAAGGCCGUACGACGACCAAGGCAGAGAGAGCAGUGACGUCCCUACAAGCAAGGAACACCAAGCAUUGCCACCACCCCCACAAGCUAAGGGACAGGCAUGGACAGAUUCUCCCCUGGAGCCUUCAGAUGCCCUGCUGCCAUCUUGAUUCUGGACGUGUGGCCUCCAGAACCGUGAGAGAAUAGAGAGACUGUGGCUGAAAAGUGAAGAAUUGAGUCGGGCUAGAGACCAGGGCAGCCUUCCUGUCACCAGCGCCUGAUGCAAAGUGAGACUGAUGACAGACUGCAGUCUGUUGAUUUGCUCCACCCGAAUCAGAGGACGCGCCGAGAUCUGGACAAACUUGGAGUGCGUGUAGCCUAUACCCGUGUCUGUGUUCCUGAUGCCAUACGCAGGCGUCACGACUGCCCUGUCCUGGUGGGGGUACCUGCACACCCAAAAGACCAGAGCAUCAGAAAUCACCACUAGGAAAAAGGCGCCCUGGCCUAGGCUCCAAAUUCGAGCUUUAAGAGCUGACACGAGUCUCCUUUCAAAGGUCUUUCUUGCGUCUAUUGGCUGCUUACUCUCUCAGGGAAGAAACUGUUCGUCAGUGGAAUCAAAACAAGGGAUACUUAAAAAGCUCCAGGAAAGUCGUAUUUCCUGGAGAUGGAAAAUAUUUUUCUCAAAGGGAACUGGGAAGAGGCAAGAAUUUUUAAAAGGAUGACCUAUGAAAGAGGAACGGAGCCAGAACACGAUCCAAGAGAGGCUUUCAAAGCUUACGGUGGAGGAGAAAUGGCUUGUUUGAGAUGAGGAAAGAGGCGGAACAAGGGAAGUAACUUGCCUGAGGUCACAUGGCUUGUCAGUGUCACAGGGCAAGAUUCCAUUCCAGGACUCCCGGAUUCCAGCAUCUCUGCUCCUAACCAGCCAAUCCUUGCUGUCUUCUCCUGCUGGCACGGACUCUGCUAAGAAACAGAAGGUUCAAGAUGGCGACACAGGAAGAUCCUGAACUCACCUCCCCCACAGACACACUGAAUCUACAGCUGCAUAUGGAGCAAUUUCCUCUCAAAAAAACCCUAAAAUCUAGUGGAAAGACUCCUUCGUAUUAGGGAAGUGAGAAAACAAAAAACAAAAAAACAUUGAUGCGAGUAGGAAAGGCUGAGAUAGUCUCACCAUAACCCGCCCUCCCCCCCAGCCACACACAGUGACCCAUAGCCCGAGUGAUCUUAAAACCCAGAGCUUCUCCCCGAGGAACGAAAGGUUUGUACUCCACAUCGGGCACCCCAGCUUUUAAGACCUGCACCUGAGAGAUGCGCCCCCAACACAUCCAGCUUUGAAAAGCAACAGGGCUUGGGCCCAAAAGACCCACAGGGCUGGAGAAACAUCGCUCAAAGGACUCGCUCACCCCGGGGGCCCAGUGCAGAAGCAGCCCUUGGAAAGUGCCCGACUUCCCGUGCUGGAGGUUCAUUCCUAGUUUUCAGGCCUCGGUCUCCAGGGCCCGGAGCUGGUGAGCGCCAUCUUCACCCUCUCCCUAGGCAUUGCUAGAGCCUGCGCCCCCCUCAUUUUUUUUUUUUUUUUUUUUUUUUUGACUCUAGAAGUUUUUCCCCGCAGCGGGCACCAUUUUCCUGCUCUGUCUUGCUAAAGCUGGUGGGCACCGGCUUUUCCUGUCUUUGCUUUUCUCGGCGAUGCCAUAUUUGCGCCCCGCCCCCGCCUCCCCCCAGCCACGCCAUCUUCCGCUCUCCUACUGCGCUCAAAGCGCCAUUGUCUCCUGGAAGGGAGUUUCUACAUGCGUCUGGUGUUCUGGAUUUUACCCGUGGUGACCCAGUUUUGGUGGCUACAGCCCAGGGGAAGUCCCUUGAUCGCCAGGCUCUGAAGGCCAGAGGGGCUUGCUUUCCUGGGUCCCAUGGGACUGUGACAAACGGAGAGACAGUUCUCAGCAGGCGACACCCCCAGGGCACUGCACAGAUAGAGGCUGAAACACCCCCCAUCUUUCUGGGAAAGAGGCCUAUGCGCAUGUCCAGGAGCUUUGGCCUGGGGGAGGCUUCUGGUCUGGCCCCUUCCAGGGACCUAGGGAGUGCUCUCUCAGGGAAUGGAGGGCGUGGACUCAGUCUGCGUUCUCUGCCUGGCUCCAGCUCACUGGUAUCUCAUACAGCUGCCACCCUCAAGGCACAGCAAGAGGCCACAGACCCAGGAACUCAGUCUUUCUGGGAAAGAGGGCUAUUACCUUAUCAUCGCAGCUGCUGCCUGAGGGUCUGGCUUCCAAUCAGCCUGAAUCUAGGUGCUGACUUCAAUCCUCCCCUUUGGGACACUGACCGGUCUUGGCACAC